rnacentral:rRNA from 1 species
GACGAACGCUGGCGGCGUGCCUAAUACAUGCAAGUAGAACGCUGAAGGAGGAGCUUGCUUCUCUGGAUGAGUUGCGAACGGGUGAGUAACGCGUAGGUAACCUGCCUGGUAGCGGGGGAUAACUAUUGGAAACGAUAGCUAAUACCGCAUAAGAGUAGAUGUCGCAUGACAUUUGCUUAAAAGGUGCAAUUGCAUCACUACCAGAUGGACCUGCGUUGUAUUAGCUAGUUGGUGAGGUAACGGCUCACCAAGGCAACGAUACAUAGCCGACCUGAGAGGGUGAUCGGCCACACUGGGACUGAGACACGGCCCAGACUCCUACGGGAGGCAGCAGUAGGGAAUCUUCGGCAAUGGACGGAAGUCUGACCGAGCAACGCCGCGUGAGUGAAGAAGGUUUUCGGAUCGUAAGGCUCUGUUGUAAGAGAAGAACGAGUGUGAGAGUGGAAAGUUCACACUGUGACGGUAUCUUACCAGAAAGGGACGGCUAACUACGUG